rnacentral:rRNA from 1 species
AGAGUUUGAUCAUGGCUCAGAUUGAACGCUGGCGGCGUGCCUAACACAUGCAAGUCGAGCGGUAACAGGUGUAGCAAUACAUGCUGACGAGCGGCGAACGGGUGAGUAAUGCUUCGGAAUCUGCCCAAUGGUGGGGAAUAACCAGCCGAAAGGUUGGCUAAUACCGCAUACGUCCUACGGGAGAAAGCAGGGGAUCGCAAGACCUUGCGCCAAUGGAUGAGCCGAAGUCGGAUUAGCUAGUUGGUAGGGUAACGGCCUACCAAGGCGACGAUCCGUAGCUGGUCUGAGAGGACGACCAGCCACACUGGGACUGAGACACGGCCCAGACUCCUACGGGAGGCAGCAGUGGGGAAUAUUGGACAAUGGGGGAAACCCUGAUCCAGCGACGCCGCGUGUGUGAAGAAGGCCUGCGGGUUGUAAAGCACUUUUAGUGGGGAUGAAAAGUUCAGGGCUAACACCUCUGGAUCUUGACCUAACCCACAGAAAAAGCACCGGCUAACUCUGUGCCAGCAGCCGCGGUAAUACAGAGGGUGCAAGCGUUAAUCGGAAUUACUGGGCNNNAAGCGUGCGUAGACGGUUACAUAAGUCGGGUGUGAAAGCCCCGGGCUCAACCUGGGAAUUGCAUUCGAGACUGCGUAGCUAGGGUGCGGAAGAGGGAAGCGGAAUCUCCGGUGUAGCGGUGAAAUGCGUAGAUAUCGGAAGGAACACCAGUGGCGAAAGCGGCUUCCUGGUCCAGCACCGACGUUCAGGCACGAAAGCGUGGGGAGCAAACAGGAUUAGAUACCCUAGUAGUCC